NNCCGCCCCCCGCCCCGACGGGGAACNACCAGGGCNCNGAAAACUUUUCCAAUGNGCGGAAAGCACGACAAGGUUAAUCCGGAGUGGUUUCUGNUAAAAGGAACCUUUUGACAGUCCUAAAAACACUUGUUGAAUAAGGGGUGGCCAAGUUUUGGUGUCAGCCGCCGCGGUAAAACCAGCACCUCAAGAGGUCAGGAUGAUUAUUGGGCCUAAAGCAUCCGUAGCCGGCUCUGUAAGUUUUCGGUUAAAUCUGUACGCUCAACGUACAGGCUGCUGGGAAUACUGCAGAGCUAGGGAGUGGGAGAGGUAGACGUACUCGGGAGGAAGUGGUAAAAUGCUUUGAUCUCUCGAUGACCACCUGUGGCGAAGGCGGUCUACCAGAACACGUCCGACGGUGAGGGAUGAAAGCUGGGGGAGCAAACCGGAUUAGAUACCCGGGUAGUCCCAGCUGUAAACUAUGCAAACUCAGUGAUGCAUUGGCUUGUGGCCAGUGCAGUGCCGCAGAGAAGUCGUUAAGUUUGCCGCCUGGGAAGUACGUACGCAAGUAUGAAACUUAAAGGAAUUGGCGGGGGAGCAC
rnacentral:rRNA from 1 species